rnacentral:rRNA from 1 species
CGGGGUGAGUAAUGUCUGGGAAACUGCCUGAUGGAGGGGGAUAACUGCUGGAAACGGUAGCUAAUACCGCAUAACGUCGCAAGACCAAAGAGGGGGACCGUUCGGGCCUCUUGCCAUCGGAUGUGCCCAGAUGGGAUUAGCUAGUAGGUGGGGUAACGGCUCACCUAGGCGACGAUCCCUAGCUGGUCUGAGAGGAUGACCAGCCACACUGGAACUGAGACACGGUCCAG